GACGAACGCUGGCGGCGUGCUUAACACAUGCAAGUCGUACGGUAAGGCCCUUUCGGGGGUCCACGAGUGGCGAACGGGUGCGUAACACGUGAGUAACCUGCCCACAACUUUGGGAUAACGCUAGGAAACUGGUGCUAAUACUGGAUAUGUGCUCCUGCUGCAUGGUGGGGGUUGGAAAGCUCCGGCGGUUGUGGAUGGACUCGCGGCCUAUCAGCUUGUUGGUGGGGUAGUGGCCUACCAAGGCGGCGACGGGUAGCCGGCCUGAGAGGGUGACCGGCCACAUUGGGACUGAGAUACGGCCCAGACGCCUACGGGAGGCAGCAGUGGGGAAUAUUGCACAAUGGGCGCAAGCCUGAUGCAGCAACGCCGCGUGCGGGAUGACGGCCUUCGGGUUGUAAACCGCUUUCAGCAGGGACGAAGCUUUUUGUGACGGUACCUGCAGAAGAAGCACCGGCUAACUACGUG
rnacentral:rRNA from 1 species